rnacentral:rRNA from 1 species
UACGUAGGGUGCGAGCGUUAAUCGGAAUUAUUGGGCGGAAAGCGUGCGCAGGCGGUUGUGUAAGACAGGUGUGAAAUCCCCGGGCUUAACCUGGGAACUGCGCUUGUGACUGCACGACUGGAGUGUGGCAGAGGGGGGUGGAAUUCCACGUGUAGCAGUGAAAUGCGUAGAUAUCUGGAAGAACACCGGUGGCGAAGGCGGCCUUCUGGACGAUGACUGACGCUGAGACGCGAAAGCGUGGGGAGCAAACAGG